AUUGAACGCUGGCGGCAUGCCUUACACAUGCAAGUCGAGCGGCAGCGCGGGGCAACCUGGCGGCGAGCGGCGAACGGGUGAGUAAUACAUCGGAACGUACCCAGUUGUGGGGGAUAGCCCGGCGAAAGCCGGAUUAAUACCGCAUACGACCUGAGGGUGAAAGGGGGGGAUCGCAAGACCUCUCGCAGUUGGAGCGGCCGAUGGCGGAUUAGCUAGUUGGUGAGGUAAAGGCUCACCAAGGCGACGAUCCGUAGCUGGUCUGAGAGGAUGAUCCGCCACACUGGGACUGAGACACGGCCCAGACUCCUACGGGAGGCAGCAGUGGGGAAUUUUGGACAAUGGGCGAAAGCCUGAUCCAGCCAUGCCGCGUGAGUGAAGAAGGCCU
rnacentral:rRNA from 1 species